ACGCGGGAUUCGCGAUAUUUUAUUUCUUCAGUGUGUUCAAGUUCUGGACUCUCUUCUACUCGGUCUGGUUCGGAUGAUCAUUAGCCAGACAGCAUCUGACUGCCAGGGUUGACAAAAGCCGCAGACGAAAGGCAGGGAGGACAAUGAAGAGGAGACAGAAGAAUAGCGUUAAGAGUCGGCGCUUUGUCGCGGUCUCGGGACUGUCAAUCACCGGCGAUAGGAAGCGACACAUUAAUCCGAGGAACAGCCUGUUGACCGCACGACAUCUUCUCCUCCUCUGCGGUCAAACAAACCCUUCAAACCUCUACAAGCCGCCCACUUUAUCCUCGCGUCGCGUCGUAAUCAUUCCCGUGGACCUUCUUUGUCGGCGUCGUGUGACACGAGAAAUGGAAACGCGAGCUAACCAAAUCAAUCAGAUUCAAUCCAUCGAUUCGGACAGCGAAUGAUUUCUUGAACGAACCCACACAUUUCUUGAAUACGACCGAACUGCGAUCGUUUGAUUCCAUACAAGGGGAAUAUUCGCGACGUUUGCAAAAGCUGACCAGACCUGACAAAUGUUGGGGACAGAGGAGCUGGACGUCUUCAUGCGUUAUUGGCUGUAGCGUUUCCGGCUGAAAUAACGUCAUUUGUUUCAUAGUGAUAUCUAGACUGCGGAUUGUAUGCAUUUACAGCAG